rnacentral:snoRNA from 1 species
CAGAGGAAUGAGGAUUAUAUUUCCAUACGUCUGCAAAUCUGGAAUUACAGUGUUGAUUCAUCGACAUGCACUACCAUCUGACCUCUU